UUUUCAACAUCUGGACCAUACCGGCAAACG
rnacentral:piRNA from 1 species